UACGAAGGGGGCUAGCGUUGUUCGGAAUUACUGGGCGUAAAGCGCGCGCAGGCGGUCCUUCAAGUCAGAGGUGAAAGCCCAGAGCUCAACUCUGGAACGGCCUUUGAGACUAGAGGACUUGGGUACGGGAGAGGUGAGUGGAAUUCCGAGUGUAGAGGUGAAAAUUCGUAGAUAUUCGGAAGAACACCAGUGGCGAAGGCGGCUCACUGGCCCGUUACCGACGCUCAGGCGCGACAGCGUGGGGAGCAAACAGGG
rnacentral:rRNA from 1 species